UUAACUGAAACCAAAAACGAGGUAUAUUAAUGUUAAUAAUACAAGUGAACUUUAAAAUUCCAGUUAAA
rnacentral:tRNA from 1 species